rnacentral:rRNA from 1 species
UACGGAGGGUGCAAGCGUUAAUCGGAAUUACUGGGCGUAAAGCGUGCGUAGGCGGUUAUGUAAGUUGGAUGUGAAAGCCCUGGGCUCAACCUGGGAACUGCAUUCAAAACUGCAUAACUAGAAUGCGAUAGAGGUAAGUGGAAUUUCCUGUGUAGCGGUGAAAUGCGUAGAUAUAGGAAGGAACAUCAGUGGCGAAGGCGACUUACUGGAUCGACAUUGACGCUGAGGUACGAAAGCGUGGGUAGCAAACAGG